GCUUAACUCUGGAACUGCCAUCAAAACUUUUUAGCUAGAGUAUGAUAGAGGAAAGCAGAAUUUCUAGUGUAGAGGUGAAAUUCGUAGAUAUUAGAAAGAAUACCAAUUGCGAAGGCAGCUUUCUGGAUCAUUACUGACGCUGAGGAACGAAAGCAUGGGUAGCGGAGAGGAUUAGAUACCCUCGUAGUCCAUGCCGUAAACGAUGUGUGUUAGACGUUGGAAAUUUAUUUUCAGUGUCGCAGCGAAAGCGUUAAACACACCGCCUGGGGAGUACGACCGCAAGGUUAAAACUCAAAUGAAUUGACGGGGACCCGCACAAGUAGUGGAGCAUGUGGUUUAAUUCGAAGAUACGCGCAGAACCUUACCAACACUUGACAUGUUCGUCGCGACUCUAAGAGAUUAGAGUUUUCGGUUCGGCCGGACGAAACACAGGUGCUGCAUGGCUGUCGUCAGCUCGUGUCGUGAGAUGUUGGGUUAAGUCCCGCAACGAGCGCAACCCUCACUUUUAGUUGCCAUCAUUUAGUUGGGCACUCUGAAAGAACUGCCAGUGAUAAGCUGGAGGAAGGUGGGGAUGACGUCAAGUCCUCAUGGCCCUUACGUGUUGGGCUACACACGUGCUACAAUGGCAUUUACAAUAGGAAGCAAGAUGGCGACAUCAAGCAAAUCCUAAAAAGAUGCCUCAGUUCGGAUUGUACUCUGCAACUCGAGUACAUGAAGCUGGAAUUACUAGUAAUCGCGGAUCAGCGCGCCGCGGUGAAUACGUUCCCGGGUCUUGUACACACCGCCCGUCACACCAUGGGAGUUGGUUCUACCUUAAGGCAAGGUUUUAAACCCUUGACUACGGUAUAGUCAGCGACUGGGGUGAAGUCGUAACAAGGUAGCCGUA
rnacentral:rRNA from 1 species